GGAGAGGUCGCAUAGUGGCCUAGUGCGGCGGUUUGCUAAACCGCUAUACGGAAUUAUAUCCGUAUCGAGGGUUCAAAUCCCUCCCUCUCCGCCA
rnacentral:tRNA from 1 species